GAUGAACGCUAGCUACAGGCUUAACACAUGCAAGUCGAGGGGUAGCCCAGAAGAAGCUCGCUUCUUUGGGUGACGACCGGCGCACGGGGGAGUAACGCGUCUCCGACCUACCCAUAACACGGGCACAGCCGCCCGAAAGAGCGAUUGAUUUCCGAUAGGUCUUUAGAGUAGUACGAAUGAUGACAGAUGUAUCGGUUAUGGCUGGGGAUGCGUAAGAUUAGGUAGUAGGCGGGGUAACGGCCCCCGUAGCCGACGAUCUUUAGGGGUUCUGAGAGGAAGGUCCCCCACACUGGUACUGAGACACGGACCAGACUCCUACGGGAGGCAGCAGUGAGGAAUAUUGGUCAAUGGGCGGAAGCCUGAACCAGCCAAGUAGCGUGAAGGAUUACAGCCCUACGGGUUUUAAACUUCUUUUAUAUAAGAGUAAUGUGCACUACGUGUAGUGUAUUGCAAGUAUUAUAUGAAUAAGCAUCGGCUAACUCCGUGCCAGCCGCCGCAGUAACAC
rnacentral:rRNA from 1 species